ACUUCCAAUCCCCAUGCACCAGCAUUUCCCUGCAGCAGCCUCAUUAAGGGCUGGUUUCAAAGCUCCUUCACAGGAGAGGAUAAUGAUGCCAAGGAAGAGCAGAUUUCUUGGGGGAAAGGGCAGGAGAGCGCUGUGAGCCUAAUGUGGAAACAGGCUCCCACUCCUGUCUCCACCACAAGAAGGCCAGAGAAGAGAACUGGGUCCGGGAAAGAGGGUCAUGGCUCUUCUUCUCUGUCCCAGCUGGCGCUCAGGGUGAGACAAGGAAGUUGAUGCUGACUGUCCAUCCUUGGAAGUGUGUCCAGAACCAUGGGAGCCAUAUGGCCACCAGCUGGAGAAUAAAGCCAACGUGGGAGAUGAUGGAGCUGAUGAAAAUACCCAGGACUAGAACAAAGCUGAAAGUACCAUGCCCAGACAUCACUGGAAGACACACAGGUCUUUAUUGGCCUGAGUGAGGCAAGGUUCCAGUUGUUUGUAUCCCAAAGCCUUCGAACUCAUAGCCAAGUGUGCCCUGGAGUUUACUCACUUCGCUCAUGAAACAUUAUGUUAGACACUGAGUUCCAGUACACAAGCUUGUCCAAUUUCUCAGUUCUAGGAAGCAGGCUUAUCUGAUCUCCCAGUUCAGGGCAGAUUAGAACUAGCAAGUGAGAGGUAGAUGAAGUGAGGGCAGCUGGUCAGAGAGGGAAGAGACACAGGUGGAAACCAGCACACAAGAUGUGGCACUGGAGGGCCAUCGAGUGUCCAGACAAACAGGUGCUCCCCUUCUGCCGCCCCAGUGUGUGCUGGAUACAGGCCAGUGACUGAGCCAUCACGACGGCCACGUGUCGUCAAAGGAAGUUUGCUUUCUUUCUGUUUUAGGAGGGGGAUGAGGCUGAAAAAUGUUUAAUAACACUACUUUGUAAACAAGGAAAAGGUUAAAUGAUUAAAAGGGUACACUUAUCUGAAAAGUCACACAGAGAACAAACUCACUAAACUCAACGAAUGAGUAUAAUAUACCCACAGAGAUGCAUGCAAAUAGAACCUCUAGAAAGUCAUCCAGAGAAAAGGAGGGAAAGAGCAGCAGGCAGUAGUCUGCUUGCUACGGAGAGCACUUCAUUUCAGGGUCCGCACGAGAAGCCCUGGAGAAGCCAAGCUGGCGACUGAGUACAAGGCUUUGCUCUUCUGCCAGUGGCUUGAAUAGACUCUGGUGGCUCAGAGAGCUGCCUAAGCUAUUCUCUCAGAAGCCCACUAGUGGGAAACAAAUAAGCUGCUUGACUUUUCUUGGUAGGAGGGGGUUGAACACUCCUAAUUCAAUGUAAAUAAUUCUCAAAGCCAAGCACUUGCAGCAAAAAUGACUGGAAUGGUCACAGACACUAAAACUGUGCCGUGCAAAACAGGUCCUGGGUCUCUGUGUGCACAAACACAGAGCCCAGCAGCUGAUGUAGUUACUCCGGGAGAAGCCACUCCAACCCAGUCAUUCCCAGCUACAUGCCGGGUGCCAGGGAGCUGCUACACUCCACUGGCACCAGAGUCUAAAGUUUGGGGUGGCUUGUUUACCAAGGAUGUGGGCAUGAAGGAUGCAGUGCUGAGGUGUGAGACGAACAUGGGGGUUCUCUGCAAUCCUCCAGUCACCUUUCAAUCUUGCAGAGCCUACACCCAACAGAGCACUGCUCUGCUUUAACACAGAAACUUACAAAUAUGCAAAUCAAGGUAAAUAAAAAGGAAAAAUUGGGUACCUUUUCUGAUUACUCACCCAUUUGUGUGUGUGUUACACACAAUUUUUAAAUGAACAGUAGGUGAUGUAUGAACCUCAGUGUUAUUUAAGGAAAACCCAUAAACAAUUAAAUAAAUUUACCAAGAAUGAAACGUAAGACUUUAGAUUAGUGGUUUCGAGUGGUCUUUUUUUACUUCAUGCAAGAAUAUUACCACCUACACUGAGACUGUGCUACUAGUAAAUUAUGAUUAUUAUCAUCAACCCAUUAUUAGUCAACAAUUUGCUGGCAUGGUCCUAAAUAAUCUACAUUCAUUAUCUUAUUUUAUUAUCAUAAUAGCAUGAGUCUAAGUAUUAAACCAGUUUUACUGAUGGAGAAAAUGAGGCCUAGAGCUGUGAUUUGCUGGGGGAGCCAGAACAAGGAAAAGCUUGGGGUCCCAGAAAACACAGAUUCAUCCCAGAGGCAAAGGCUUAAUCACACCAGAGUUACAACAAUAGAUUCAUCUGCUGAUGGACAUACUGGAUGUGCUACUUCUAAAGUUGAGCAAUCGUGAAUUGUGCUGCUAUAAACGUGAGUACGCUGUGUCACUGUAAUAUGAUGUCUUUGACCCUUUUAAUUUUUCCACCUUGUGAUGGCAUGAAAACAAACCAGUUCAGUAGAAACCAUACUUGGAAACUGAGUUUUGAUAUUAGGCGGAAGUGGUCUGGUGCUCACUGUCUGGUGACACCAAGUAGUCCUGGUCCUCCGUGUGACCCCGAGGUUGACAACCCAUACUCUACAGUGGGCUGGGUUGCCGAGCUGUGAUGUUAGGUAAGCCAGGUGUAAAAAAUCCAUUUCUGACUUAUGAUGAGUUUGUGGAGACACAACUCUCUUUGUAGGCUGUGGGUGGCUUCAUCUCACAUCCUUUGGACACCUUGUUGCUUUCCUUUGUCUCCGCUACAUGGACACUGGUUUGGGAUCAUUUCCUUUUAUUCCUUUGACAUAUCUUGCACCAAGAUUGGUUCCAAAUGUUGUCCAUGCUUUUGGCUGUUCUGUUUAGUUGUUUUGUCUGUUUUUAUGUAGAAAUACAGAAAGUUUCAAGAGCUGUGUCACUGCUACUUCAACUUCACAGGACACUCCUCUACUCUCAGGCUUCCUACUUCGAAUAACAGGGUUGCAGUAGUUACAGAAUAAAGCCAACAUCAUUCUUGAUUGGCCUUGCACUAAACCAUAAUGUUCUGCACAAAAUAAUUCUUGUUAACCUUGGCUCUACAUUAACACCUUGGGACUCACUGUAAAGUGCUGAGUCUUUGGUCUGUACCCUGCAAGAGCCUCUGAUUUAAUUGGUCUUGUGUAGAAUACUUCCAGUAGACUGUAAGGCAGACCAAGGUUUGGCAACCACUAGUAUGGAGAAAAACAAUUUGUUAAACAUUUCUAUUGAGACCAAGCCAGUCACUGGUUGCUCAGUUCACCAUGAGUGUAGUCACUCCCCCACUCUUAGCCCACCUGGCUCAGGUGAGACAGGCCCAUUACCCGCAUCUGGAAAAGUCAAGCCACAUAAGUACAGCCAGCCAGGGUGCUCCACUCCUGUCCAAGGACAAGCAUGUGACCUGCCUGGACCAAUGAAAAAAGUCCCCAUGAUUUCUGAAAGACUCAUCAAAGAGUCGUUUUUUAUUUUUCAUUCAAAUUGAGCUUCAAGGUCAAUAUAAAGAAUUUGUUUUAGAAUAAAGCUGAGGGCAAAGAACAUUGUUGUAGGAAUGGAAAGAGCAAGAAUGUAUCCUAAUUGGCCUAAUAUAGCGAUUCCAAAUAUAUACUUAUUUCCAUCUAAAUCAGGACAAAUCGGGGAGAGAGAGAGAUGGAGAAGUCAGGUAAUUGGAGGAAAAGUAGUUCUAUCCCCGAGGAGCUGAUUGAGGUCCUGGCUUUGGAUUGUUUCCCGGAAGAACUGCGUUGCCCUCUGCUCCUUGGUUCACCUGAUUUAUAACCACUCACAGGCAUGGCGGGGGUCUUUGGACCUUGGCCUCCAGGCAGACUGCUCAGAGAAGGGAAGAGGACAGACUACAAGGCAGAGCCUCUGAGCAGACGCAAGAAAGGCCCUGGGAGACUGGAGCCAUGCCUAACACCAGCCCCUGCCCACAUUCCCCGUCGGAUGGGGCUUGUGCUGGGGUCUGCCUGGAUCGCCUGCUCAUCCACGAGGCAGGGAAGAAGCAGCACGCGGCUCCUCUCCCACUCAGGACGUGGGCUGUACACUGCACUUCUUUGGGCUUCAGCUUCUGCAUCGCAGCACACAAGGACUAAGACAUGAAGCUGUGGAUCUCAGAGUGUUUCCCUGUAGACAGCACAAUGUCAACAAAGCAAAAGGAGCUUCACCCAAAAGGAAGAGCAUUUUUCUUUGAUGAAACGACCUGGCUUCCUGACGAGAGCU
rnacentral:lncRNA from 1 species